GGAGCAGUUGGUAGCUCAGUGGUACAGUGCAUGCUUUGUGUUUAUGAAGUUCUGGGUUCAAAACCCAGCUGCUCCC
rnacentral:tRNA from 1 species